rnacentral:rRNA from 1 species
GGGGCGGUCUCCUCCUAAAGAGUAACGGAGGAGCACGAAGGUUGGCUAAUCCUGGUCGGACAUCAGGAGGUUAGUGCAAUGGCAUAAGCCAGCUUGACUGCGAGCGUGACGGCGCGAGCAGGUGCGAAAGCAGGUCAUAGUGAUCCGGUGGUUCUGAAUGGAAGGGCCAUCGCUCAACGGAUAAAAGGUACUCCGGGGAUAACAGGCUGAUACCGCCCAAGAGUUCAUAUCGACGGCGGUGUUUGGCACCUCGAUGUCGGCUCAUCACAUCCUGGGGCUGAAGUAGGUCCCAAGGGUAUGGCUGUUCGCCAUUUAAAGUGGUACGCGAGCUGGGUUUAGAACGUCGUGAGACAGUUCGGUCCCUAUCUGCCGUGGGCGCUGGAGAACUGAGGGGGGCUGCUCCUAGUACGAGAGGACCGGAGUGGACGCAUCACUGGUGUUCGGGUUGUCAUGCCAAUGGCACUGCCCGGUAGCUAAAUGCGGAAGAGAUAAGUGCUGAAAGCAUCUAAGCACGAAACUUGCCCCGAGAUGAGUUCUCCCUGACUCCUUGAGAGUCCUGAAGGAACGUUGAAGACGACGACGUUGAUAGGCCGGGUGUGUAAGCGCAGCGAUGCGUUGAGCUAACCGGUACUAAUGAACCGUGAGGCUUAACCUUACAAC